UACGACUUCGACGAACUCAAAUUCGGGAACGAAAUCACACUAUGACUCGAUAUGUUUCAGUUUGCAGAAAAGAAUGCAGAAUUUUUAAUGUUUUUUUCAGUAUUCGAAAAUGAGGCAUUGCCUCAGUUUAUAUAGCCUCGAAUUGUGACUGUUCGGAAAGGGUUCGGGAAAGGCCAUGCCUUUUCCUGAAAAAUAAGAACGUUGGGAAGUUUACAGUUAACAUAUUAUAUAUUAAUUUUUCCCCGCGGGAAUUAAAAUUAAUUUCAGAAAAUG
rnacentral:lncRNA from 1 species